rnacentral:tRNA from 1 species
AAGUGUGUGAUAAGUACUGCUAAUACUUUAAACCAGAACUAAUCUCCUGGCACCCUUA